rnacentral:rRNA from 1 species
CGCCAAAUAGCCACUAGCAUAUGGCUGGUAUAGUCGCUUCUUAGAGGGACUAUCGCUUUCACGUCGAUGGAAGUUUGACGCAAUCACAGGUCUGUGAUGCCCUUAUAUGUUCUGGGCCGCACGCGCGCUACACUGACAGACCCAGCGAGUUUAUACCUUGGCCGAGAGGUCCGGGAAAUCUUGUGAAACUCCGUCGUGCUGGGGAUAGAGCAUUGUAAUUAUUGCUCUUCAACGAGGAAUUCCUAGUAAGCGCAAGUCAUCAGCUUGCGUUGAUUACGUCCCUGCCCUUUGUACACACCCCCCGUCGCUACUACCGAUUGAAUGGAUAAGAAAA